GACGAACGUUGGCGGCGUGCUUAAUACAUGCAAGUCGACUGAAGCAGUGGUAGCAAUAUCGCUGUGGAGGUGGCGCACGGGGGAGUAACCCGUAGGUAAUCUGCCUUCAGGUCUGGCAUAACUCCGGGAAACCGGGGCUAAUAGCAGAUGAUGCAGCGGCUCGACAUCGAGACAGUUGUUAAAGCUAUGGCGCCUGAAGAUGAGCCUGCGUCUGAUUAGCUAGUUGGCGGGGUCACGGCCCACCAAGGCAACGAUCAGUAGCUGGUCUGAGAGGAUGCUCAGCCACACUGGAACUGAGACACGGCCCAGACUCCGACGGGAGGCAGAAGGAAGGAAGAUGGGUCGAUGGGAGAAAUACUGAAGCAGCAACGACGCGGGGGGGACGAAGGGCUUUUGAUUGUAAACCUCUGUAGUGAGAGAAAAAAAUCCCAAUCUGCGGGACAUGAUGGUAUCUAAAAAGUAAGCCCCGGCUAACUACGUG
rnacentral:rRNA from 1 species